GACGAACGCUGGCGGCGUGCUUAACACAUGCAAGUCGAACGGAAAGGCCCUGCUUUUGUGGGGUGCUCGAGUGGCGAACGGGUGAGUAACACGUGAGUAACCUGACCUUGACUUUGGGAUAACUUCAGGAAACUGGGGCUAAUACCGGACAGGAGCUCCUGCUGCAUGGUGGGGGUUGGAAAGUUUCGGCGGUUGGGGAUGGACUCGCGGCUUAUCAGCUUGUUGGUGGGGUAGUGGCUUACCAAGGCUUUGACGGGUAGCCGGCCUGAGAGGGUGACCGGCCACAUUGGGACUGAGAUACGGCCCAGACGCCUACGGGAGGCAGCAGUGGGGAAUAUUGCACAGUGGGCGGAAGCCUGAUGCAGCGACGCCGCGUGCGGGAUGACGGCCUUCGGGUUGUAAACCGCUUUCGCCUGUGACGAAGCGGGAGUGACGGUAAUGGGUUAAGAAGCACCGGCUAACUACGUG
rnacentral:rRNA from 1 species